AUUUAAUUAGUUUAAGAAAAAUAUCAGUUUGUGGGACUGGUGAUAUAACUAAGUUAUAUUAAAUA
rnacentral:tRNA from 1 species